rnacentral:rRNA from 1 species
AUUGAACGCUGGCGGCAGGCCUAACACAUGCAAGUCGAACGGUAACAGGAAGACGCUUGCUUCUUUGCUGACGAGUGGCGGACGGGUGAAUAAUGUCUGGGAAACUGCCUGAUGGAGGGGGAUAACUACUGGAAACGGUAGCUAAUACCGCAUAACGUCGCAAGACCAAAGAGGGGGACCUUCGGGCCUCUUGCCAUCGGAUGUGCCCAGAUGGGAUUAGCUAGUAGGUGGGGUAACGGCUCACCUAGGCGACGAUCCCUAGCUGGUCUGAGAGGAUGACCAGCCACACUGGAACUGAGACACGGUCCAGACUCCUACGGGAGGCAGCAGUGGGGAAUAUUGCACAAUGGGCGCAAGCCUGAUGCAGCCAUGCCGCGUGUAUGAAGAAGGCCUUCGGGUUGUAAAGUACUUUCAGCGGGGAGGAAGGGAGUAAAGUUAAUACCUUUGCUCAUUGACGUUACCCGCAGAAGAAGCACCGGCUAACUCCGUG